AUGUUAGCAACCGCAAUCAACUUUGAGAAAGUGUUUGCGAGGUAUGAGGAAGAAGAUCCACUCUAUACAUUAGAUUUAACUAGUGAGAAAGCUCCUGGUAUUCAUGUUGAUAGUGAUUGGGAGAAUGCUACGAAAAUGGCUGAAUUUCUUGGACAGUUUUAUCACCUUACUCUUAGUGUUUCCGCCACACUCCAUGUCACCAUGAAUCAAUUUGUUAUGGAUAUUGCUGAAAUCAAUGUUGUGUUGGAAGAGUGGGCUGAUAGUGAUGAUAUUUUGCGCAAAACUAUGGCCAAGAAAAUGCAAGAUAAAUAUGAUAAGUAUUGGGGACGUUGGAAUGAGGAGGUGGAGAAUGAAAGGGGGAAGGGGAAAGGAAAGAAAAAGGAAGAGGAGAAUGUGAACAUGUUUGUAUUUGUUGCAACUGUUCUUGAUCCAAGAUUCAAGCUUUCAAAUUUCACAAAACUAGCAAUUGAAGAAAUGUAUGGUGAGUUAAAUGGAGGAAAAGCUUGGGAGGCAAUGAAAACAUUUAUGCAUGCUUUGUUUUAA
rnacentral:rRNA from 1 species